GACGAACGCUGGCGGCGUGCUUAACACAUGCAAGUCGAACGGUAAGGCCCUUCGGGGUACACGAGUGGCGAACGGGUGAGUAACACGUGGGUGAUCUACCCUGCACUUCGGGAUAAGCCUGGGAAACUGGGUCUAAUACGGUAUAGGCCCUUUGCCGGCAUGGGUGGUGUUGUAAAGCUUUUGCGGUGUGGGAUGGCCCCGCGGCCUAGCAGGUUGUUGGUGGGGUGUUGGCCUAACAAGGCGACGACGGGUAGCCGGCCUGAGAGGGUGACCGGCCACACUGGGACUGAGAUACGGCCCAGACUCCUACGGGAGGAAGCAGUGGGGAAUAUUGCACAAUGGGCGCAAGCCUGAUGCAGCGACGCCGCGUGAGGGAUGACGGCCUUCGGGUUGUAAACCUCUUUCAGCACCGACGAAGCGCAAGUGACGGUAGGUGCAGAAGAAGGACCGGCCAACUACGUGCCAGCAGCCGCGGUAA
rnacentral:rRNA from 1 species